UGGGGAAUCUUGCACAAUGGGGGCAACCCUGAUGCAGCGACGCCGCGUGAGCGAUGAAGCCCUUCGGGGCGUAAAGCUCUUUCGACCGGAACGAUAAUGACGGUACCGGGAGAAGAAGCUGCGGCUAACUACGUGCCAGCAGCCGCGGUAAUACGUAGGACCCAAGCGUUGUCCGGAUUUACUGGGUGUAAAGGGUGCGCAGGCGGAUGGGUAAGUCAGGGGUGAAAGUCUGCAGCUUAACUGUAGAAUUGCCUUUGAUACUGCUCAUCUUGAGUGUGGGAGAGGUUGAUGGAAUUCCAGGUGUAGCAGUGAAAUGCGUAGAUAUCUGGAAGAACACCAGUGGCGAAGGCGGUCAACUGGCCCAUAACUGACGCUCAUGCACGAAAGCGUGGGGAGCAAACA
rnacentral:rRNA from 1 species